rnacentral:piRNA from 1 species
UACACUGUGAGAGCUUAAAGCCCUGAUCU